GUUGUCCAAUGUAGACUUUAUUGCUUGGUGUCCCUCAGGUUGGAUGCAGUAGUAAGUCUUGGUCACUCAGCUCUUGUUAAGGCUUUGGGAGCUGAUGCUCUAUAGAACAGACAGAGACUGUGAAGACUGGCAACCUUGACUUUUGCAUGUAACCCCAUGUGACCUUGGGCUCUAAGUUUGCAUGUUAAAUGCAGCUGGCCUCUCCCACAGUUGGCAAGCAUGUUGAAAAGUGUCUGACCUAGUGUAGGGACCUCAUGAAUGACAGUAACCAGAUAGAUACCUAGGUAUUCACCUUGCAGCUCACACCUCAUUAGUCUGCAGUGACAAAUUGAACCUUUUUUCCUUAAUACAGGUUUCCUAUAACCUGAUCAUAUUAUGGGUUGGAAAAUAGUUUUAAGAAUGGUUUCCUUUUCACUGAAACAUGUUUUGCCUUUGUCCUCUUGUCUCCCUUCAGUCUGCGGGCCGGGCAUUGACAUCCGUAAUGACUAUCAGCAGCUGAAGCGCCUGGAGAACUGCACGGUGAUCGAGGGCUACCUGCACAUCCUGCUCAUCUCCAAGGCUGAGGACUACCGCAGCUAUCGCUUCCCUAAGCUCACGGUCAUCACUGAAUAUCUGCUGCUGUUCCGUGUGGCGGGUCUUGAGAGCCUUGGGGACCUCUUCCCGAACCUCACGGUCAUCCGUGGCUGGAAACUCUUCUACAACUACGCUCUGGUCAUCUUUGAGAUGACCAAUCUCAAGGAUAUUGGGCUUUACAACCUGAGGAACAUUACUCGGGGGGCCAUCAGGAUUGAGAAAAAUGCUGACCUCUGUUAUCUCUCCACUGUGGACUGGUCCUUGAUCCUGGAUGCCGUGUCCAAUAACUACAUUGUGGGAAACAAGCCCCCGAAAGAAUGUGGGGACCUGUGUCCAGGGACCUUGGAGGAGAAACCGCUGUGUGAGAAGACCACCAUCAACAACGAGUACAACUACCGCUGUUGGACCACAAAUCACUGCCAGAAAAGUAAGAAUGCCAUGGACUACUGCUUUCUUUCUGCUUCUCCCAUUUUUGUCUUCCUCCUCCUCCCUCACCCUCCUCUGUGGUCUAGUAAGGCCCCAUCACAUACCUGCUUUGCAGAGGUGUUCGUAGCAGGGUUCUUGGUUGACUUUCUUUUGCAUUCAAGAGCUCUUGGAAUGCAGGACUGUGGCAUGGUUGGAGGCCAUCAUGGUUGCUGUCAAGACUGGUCAGAUCACAUUUGACUGCACUUCUGGGCAAGAAGCUCAACCUUUAAUUUUGAAUUCUGAUGAGAAAGGAAACCUGAUGUGCUUGGAAGUCACCGAGCCUAGGCAGAUGGGGGCUGCUUAUAUGUCACCUCUUUUAUUCUUGUGAAGGGAUAUUUUUUGGUAUGCAGGAUUUCUUUAGUUUGUCCUGUACUUGGACUAUGAUUAAUAGUAAGGAGCACAUUCCUUUGUGCUCUUUGUGAAAGUGAUCCUUGGUUCUUAGUUUCUACCCUGUGAGGCCUAAGUGUCCUGGCUUAUGAUGGAACACCCAGCUGAGGCAGGAAAACCUCUGGACUGAUUUCCAGGAGUCCAUGGUUCAGGCUGUACUACAGGUAGCUGUGUAGGAUGGUGUAUUUUAAAACCUUUGGGCUUCCGUUUCCUUCUCUCCGCCCC